rnacentral:rRNA from 1 species
GAUGAACGCUGACAGAAUGCUUAACACAUGCAAGUCGAUUCGAUUUACCUUCGGGUAUUGAGGAUGGCGGACGGGUGAGUAACGCGUAAGGAACUUGCCUCUUGGACUGGGACAACGUGUUGGAAACGACAGCUAAUACCGGAUAUUAUGAGAUUCUCGCAUGGGAAACUUAUGAAAGCUAUAUGCGCCAAGAGAGAGCCUUGCGUU